rnacentral:rRNA from 1 species
AUUGAACGCUGGCGGCAGGCCUAACACAUGCCAGUCGAGCGGAUGAAGGUAGCUUGCUCCUGGAUUCAGCGGCGGACGGGUGAGUAAUGCCUAGGAAUCUGCCUGGUAGUGGGGGAUAACGUCCGGAAACGGGCGCUAAUACCGCAUACGUCCUGAGGGAGAAAGUUGUGGAUCUUCGGACCUCACGCUAUCAGAUGAGCCUAGGUCGGAUUAGCUAGUUGGUGGGGUAAAGGCCUACCAAGGCGACGAUCCGUAACUGGUCUGAGAGGAUGAUCAGUCACACUGGAACUGAGACACGGUCCAGACUCCUACGGGAGGCAGCAGUGGGGAAUAUUGGACUAUGGGCGAAAGCCUGAUCCAGCCAUGCCGCGUGUGUGAAGAAGGUCUUCGGAUUGUAAAGCACUUUAAGUUGGGAGGAAGGGCAGUAAGUUAAUACCUUGCUGUUUUGACGUUACCAACAGAAUAAGCACCGGCUGACUUCGUG